rnacentral:rRNA from 1 species
CUUUUUGGAGAGUUUGAUCCUGGCUCAGGACGAACGCUGGCGGCGUGCCUAAUACAUGCAAGUCGAGCGAACUGAUGAAGAGCUUGCUUUUGAUCAGUUAGC